rnacentral:rRNA from 1 species
AACGAACGCUGGCGGCAUGCCUUACACAUGCAAGUCGAACGGUAACAGGUUAAGCUGACGAGUGGCGAACGGGUGAGUAAUGUAUCGGAACGUGCCCAGUCGUGGGGGAUAACUGCUCGAAAGAGCAGCUAAUACCGCAUACGACCUGAGGGUGAAAGCGGGGGAUCGCAAGACCUCGCGCGAUUGGAGCGGCCGAUAUCAGUUUAGGUAGUUGGUGGGGUAAAGGCCUACCAAGCCUACGAUCUGUAGCUGGUCUGAGAGGACGAACAGCCACACUGGGACUGAGACACGGCCCAGACUCCUACGGGAGGCAGCAGUGGGGAAUUUUGGACAAUGGACGCAAGUCUGAUCCAGCCAUGCCGCGUGCGGGAAGAAGGCCUUCGGGUUGUAAACCGCUUUUGUCAGGGAAGAAAAGGUUCUGGCUAAUACCUGGGACUCAUGACGGUACCUGAAGAAUAAGCACCGGCUAACUACGUGCCAGCCGCCGCCGUAAUAC